CUCUCUCAUGCCGCCCCCCUCCGCCUUUCCUCCGGCUCAGCGGUGACAAUGGAGGGAAUCGGCAGAAGGCAAUGUGGCAAACUGAAUAGAAGGUCAACCGCUAAUUCAAGAAAACCUCCUUCAAGGCCUCCCUUUGUUUCUAUGCAACUCUAGUUUGCAGAGCAAGGCAGAAGGAGGAACCAUGGAGAAUCCUUUGAGGGACUUGUGACCUUGAUGCAGACAUGUCCAAGAAAAUAGGAGAUGGUUGUCAUCAGACAGGGCAAGGCC